UGACAAUGGCCUGUGAAGCAAAGCAUACUUUUUGAUGUCUCUGGUUUCUUGUUAACUUCAUUAGAUCUGAUUGUUGGAAUAGACAAGCAUCAUUCUGCUCCAAAGCUAGUUCUGUAUUUCACGUGUUUGCCUUCGCAUCUUCUGUGCUCCAAGACACCAGAUGCCAAAGAAGUCUAGAUCUCAUGCUGUUUGUUGGGAAGCUUUGACCUUUACCGUGCCAUAGAAGUGCCUUCUCAGUGUCAAGAACUUUCACAUGGAAGAGGUGAGACCUAUUCACAGUUCAGACAUACACUUACAAAAGAGAGUGCCAUAUAUUUCAUCACUGAAUGGAAAGUUGCUGCAAGAACUCAGAGGAAAAUGCAUGUGGCAUUUCAGAAACUUUCAGGCUGAAAUCAAAGGCUUAUUCAUGUUGAAAGCAGAUUUGUGGAGAAAAAAUUGCAUAUUUUUCUUGUACAGGUUUAGUGUCCGUUUCCAGAAGUGAAGGAAGCACUACGGGUAUCCUGCUGGUUUCUGUAUCUUAUACCCCAGAAGUGCAUGGUUCUAAGAUGUGAGGCAAUUUCAAAAGCCUGUCUUGGGGUAAGGACUUCUUUUAUAUAUGCUGCUAAACUUUUAUGUGUUAAGAAAAGAAGACAUUUCUAAGUUUUUGAUCUUUA
rnacentral:lncRNA from 1 species